CGUUAUCUCCUCUUAGUAGCUUCACUUUUUUUUCAUUUUCAGUAUUUUUUUCGCGUGCAACAUUAUAGCAAUAGCAUAUGAGGCUCGGGUUUACAGGCUACAUUCAUUUUGCAGGCUCAUAUGAGGCGUCAAAAAAGGAGACGCUCGGGCACGAGCUUUUGAGUUCGGGCUCGGCUCGACACAUCCCUAUUUUAAACUACCUUUCUCAUAGCUGCGUGUAAAAUGAAUGUAAUUUGCCUAUUAAACGUGGCAACAGGCAGUAAUUUACAAACUAAAUAUGUUCCAGAAGUAUAACUGCUUUAUAUUUACAAUGUUUUCCUUAACCAAGCAGCAUGUUUAUUACGAAACAGAAAGCAUUUACACGUGGAUUCAUUGUGUCACAAUAUCGAUUGUCUAGCCAGGUAAUUGAUCACGACACAAUAGCAAUUCACGUUGCUUGAAAAAAGGGUUAAAUAUUUGCCUUUUCAUGCAUGCAAUAUGUGUUUAGCUAUCGACUUAAAUGAAACACAUCACUUGUAACAAAGAAAAAACGGUAAAACGUUUAUUUUCAUAUAAUGGCACUUUAAGCCAUUCUUACUUAAUUGUAUAUACAUGUUAAAAGCCGUCAAAAGUCUUAGUUAAAAAAUAGGAUACGGAAACACUAGUUGGCUGUAAUUGGCUGACGAUGCGAUUCGUUACUUUCCAGAAAGCAGUGUGCUUGGUUCGGCAUAUCUCUAUCAUUUUACAAAUUAAAUUUGUUUCACCUAAAUCCAAAAGGUUCUGGUGGGGAGAAUUACAAAAUUUUGAUGCUAAAACGUAGUUCAAAGGCAUCAUUUUUUCCAAAUGCUUAUGUAUUUCCAGGUGGUAACAUUGACAAGGCAGAUUCUUCAUUUCGCUGGUUUAGUGUAUUUCAUCUGCUCACCCGAAAUGUAGAAUCACUUGGGCAAAAUUUUAUUGUGCACCAGCAUGAUGAGAUGCGGUCUCCUAUGUUUAAAAAUGGUAAAAACAAUGUCAAUUCGGGUUUACCAAAUGAAAUAUCUCUUCGUAUAUCCGCUAUCCGUGAAACGUUUGAGGAAACUGGAAUUUUAAUUGCACACUCAACCCAUGAAAACUCAAUGUCACCAUUACCAGAAAAUAAUUGGUAUUGUAGCGUUAUUGAAUGGGACCAUGCUGAGGUUGAAAUAUGGAGAUCAAAGGUCAGGGAAGAUGCCAAUGAAUUCCUUAAUUUGUGUAUUCAAAAUAAGUAUGUACCUGAUAUUUGGGCAUUACAUGAGUGGAGUAACUGGCUCACUCCAACCUUUAUGCCAAAAAAGAACUCCAAAAGAUAUGACACUGUAUUUUACAAGGCGUGCCUUAAAUCUCCUCCUAGCUACACCAAGCAAGACAAUUCAGAAGUUAUCUGCUUGAAUUGGGAAUCUCCAUCAACAACUUUACUAUCGUAUCAUAAUCAAAAAAUUAUUCUGGCACCACCUCAAGUCUAUGAAUUAGGAAGGUUGUUGAAUUUUAAGCAACAUCAGGUUCUUGCAAGGUUUACAUCAAAAAGGAGAUUGAAAGGAUUAUCUCGCUGGCUUCCUGUUCGAGCUCAAUCAACAGACGGAGUAUUAAUGUCUCUUCUACCAGAUACCACAGAAAAGCCCCCAAAUGAGCGGUCAACUGAAAAAGUUAAAAGAUGCAAAUUCGACACCUUAUCUAGUGACGAGAAAAGUGAUAAUGAAGAUCAAUCAGAAACUGUUUCACCAGUGCCACAAUCAACAAGAACAACAAUGCAACAACCAUGGCUGCAAGCUAAGCACAAGGUUAAAUUUUUUAAUCAAGAUAGGACAAAACAUAAAGUAACAAUUUUAAGUAGAGUCGGUAAAGCAACACUGAAGUAUGAAUAUUUUUACAACAUUGAAUAUAAUUUAAUUUGCCUAAUGAGGUUCGUGGCAAACACAGGUGAAUAGCUUUUUCUAAAGUAGCAGAACUUGAACAUAUUAUUGAUGAAACCAUGAUCAACAGGCUGAAAAAUUCUUGAUCUUAACAAUAUUUUUAUUAAAGGGAAGCAAAAGGAACUAACAUGCUGUAGAGAUAAGGAAGUCUUUAAAGAUGUUAAAUGAAAAUAUCAAAGUUGUGUUUAUGUUUGUUGGGUUUGCACAAUGAAGAAGAUUGGUAAGGAAUGAUACCUAAGGCAUGGUUGGUUGCUUAAGGUUUUGAGGAACAAAAAAAAACCUACAAAGAAAAUCAUCAACAUGUUCAAGGGAAUCAAUCCGUAAUAUGUUAAGUAUGGCACAAACAAAUGACAGGGUGUGUGUAUUAAGAUAUUCAGACAACAUCUUCGCAAGGGGAACCUGGUGAAGCAAACUGUCCAUCUCACAUUAUUUGGAAACUGCAUAGAUGUAUUUAUGGACUUUGAGCCAUCCCGCUUAUGGCUUGGAAGAAUAAAAUCUUUAUGAUUAAUUCGAGUGGGCAGCAAAGCACAGGUGAUCCUGCAACUUUCAUUUACCACGUCAAUAACGAACUUCAAGGCAUUUUUGCAUCUAUGCUAAUGACUUUCUAUAGCUUGCAUUGCAAUAAAACGAAAUGAAGACCAUGAUCACAAUCGCAACUUUGAGUGAUCUUGGUCAAUUGAAGCUGGUGGUUUAUUUGAAUGCAGCAGAUACUUACGUGAUGAAGGUAGCCAAGGAGCGAGUCUAAUAUUCCUUGUUGGUCCAAACAACAAAUGCAAUAUUUUAGCCUGGCAAUCCAAGAGGUUUAAAAAAGUUAUCAAAAGCACACUAGCAGCAAAGUAACUGCCGCAUGCAGUUGAGGCUACAUUAUUUUUAGCCUUUAUUAUUUCAGAACUAUGCUACGAAAAUUACCACGCUAUGCGGAUAGACAUGAUUCAAAACAAUGAACUCUUUAUGUUUACAGUGGGUGGAUUGUUAAUCGCAACUUCGUAAUAUUUGUUAAAUGUUUUGCAAAGUGCUUGUUUACCUUAAAAAAAGGAGAAUGAGUUUUUAAAUAUUUUAUAAGAUAUUUAUUAUUUACUUUAAAAAGAUUUUUAUGUUGAUCAUACCCUCUAUUUAAACUACUUAAAGUAUCACCAUUAUCCAAACAAUUGUUUUAAUAAUGUUUUCUCAAUCUCUAUGUUCAAUGUUAUGCUUGAAUUUGUGUUCCUAUAUAAGCUGAGUUUGUGUGCCAGAGUAUUAUUCUAAUAAAGUUACAUGCAUUGGAUCAAGA